rnacentral:piRNA from 1 species
UGGUAUCUUCACGGGUAUUCU